GAUGAACGCUAGCGGGAGGCCUAAUACAUGCAAGUCGAACGGGUGAAUUAGCUUCGGUUGGUUCACUAGUGGCGCACGGGUGAGUAACGCGUAUGCAAUCUGCCCUAUGCUGGGGAAUAGCCCUGGGAAACUGGGAGUAAUACGCCAUAGUUCUACGGAUCUGCAUGGAUUUGUAGAUAAAGCUGCGGCGGCAUAGGAUGAGCGUGCGUCUGAUUAGGUAGUUGGUGAGGUAACGGCUCACCAAGCCGACGAUCAGUAAGGGGCGUGAGAGCGUGGCCCCUCACACGGGUACUGAGACACGGACCCGACUCCUACGGGAGGCAGCAGUAAGGAAUAUUGGACAAUGGGCGCAAGCCUGAUCCAGCAAUGCCGCGUGAGUGAUGAAGGCCUUAGGGUCGUAAAGCUCUUUUACCCGGGAUGAUAAUGACAGUACCGGGAGAAUAAGCUCCGGCUAACUCCGUGCCAGCAGCCGCGGUAAUGU
rnacentral:rRNA from 1 species